ncrna:Nicotiana tabacum cultivar TN90 Ntab-TN90_scaffold2315, whole genome shotgun sequence
GUGUUUGUAGAAAGGAUAGAUGGUUGGCAUCUCCUCCGAUAGGGAUGGGAAGGCACUUCGAGUUGUACCUGUUACCAGACACUAUAUCUCUGU